ACUCAAAGGAAUUGACGGGGACCCGCACAAGCGGUGGAUGAUGUGGAUUAAUUCGAUGCAACGCGAACAACCUUACCUACCCUUGACAUGUCCUGGACCUGGCCGAGAGGCUAGGGUGCCCGAAAGGGAACGGGAACACAGGUGCUGCAUGGCUGUCGUCAGCUCGUGUCGUGAGAUGUUGGGUUAAGUCCCGCAACGAGCGCAACCCUUAUCAUUAGUUGCUACGAGAAGGGCACUCUAAUGAGACUGCCGGUGACAAACCGGAGGAAGGUGGGGAUGACGUCAAGUCCUCAUGGCCCUUAUGGGUAGGGCUUCACACGUCAUACAAUGGCCGGUACAGAGGGCUGCCAAAGCGCGAGCUGGAGCCAAUCCCAGAAAGCCGGUCGUAGUCCGGAUUGCAGUCUGCAACUCGACUGCAUGAAGUCGGAAUCGCUAGUAAUCGCGGAUCAGCAUGUCGCGGUGAAUACGUUCCCGGGUCUUGUACACACCGCCCGU
rnacentral:rRNA from 1 species